rnacentral:rRNA from 1 species
UGGGUAACCUGCCUCAAAGAGGGGAAUAGCCUCCCGAAAGGGAGAUUAAUACCGCAUAAUAUGUUUAAGUCGCAUGACUUUAACAUCAAAGGAUUUUCUUUUAAGAAAUUCCACUUUGAGAUGGACCCGCGGCGCAUUAGCUAGUUGGUGAGGUAACGGCUCACCAAGGCAACGAUGCGUAGCCGACCUGAGAGGGUGAUCGGCCACAUUGGAACUGAGACACGGUCCAGACCUCCGUAGGGAGG